rnacentral:rRNA from 1 species
CGCUCCUCGCGGCUGGUGGUGCGCGCGGACGCCAAGGAAAUCGCCUUCGACCAGAAGUCCCGCGCCGCGCUCCAGGCCGGCGUCGAGAAGCUCGCCAGCGCCGUCGGCGUCACCCUCGGCCCGCGAGGGAGGAACGUAGUGCUGGAUGAGUAUGGCAACCCCAAAGUGGUGAAUGAUGGUGUUACCAUUGCCCGUGCUAUUGAGCUAGCUAACCCAAUGGAAAAUGCCGGUGCAGCUCUGAUUCGUGAGGUUGCUAGCAAGACCAAUGAUUCUGCUGGUGAUGGGACUACAACCGCUUGUGUUCUUGCCCGGGAAAUCAUCAAGCUGGGUAUUUUGAGUGUAACUUCUGGUGCAAACCCUGUAUCGCUUAAGAAAGGAAUAGACAAAACUGUCCAGGGUUUGAUUGAAGAGCUUGAAAGGAAAGCUAGACCAGUCAAGGGCAGUGGUGACAUCAAAGCUGUUGCCUCUAUCUCUGCUGGUAACGAUGAACUAAUUGGAGCCAUGAUUGCGGAUGCAAUUGACAAAGUGGGUCCAGAUGGUGUCCUUUCGAUCGAGUCGUCUUCAUCUUUUGAGACUACUGUUGAUGUUGAAGAAGGAAUGGAGAUUGACCGAGGCUACAUUUCCCCUCAAUUUGUGACAAACCUUGAGAAAUCAAUUGUGGAGUUUGAGAACGCCAGAGUUCUUAUAACUGAUCAGAAGAUCACAAGCAUAAAGGAAAUCAUUCCACUUCUGGAGCAGACUACACAGUUGAGAUGCCCGCUGUUUAUUGUAGCUGAGGACAUCACUGGUGAAGCUUUGGCAACUCUUGUUGUUAACAAGCUCAGAGGUAUUAUUAAUGUUGCGGCGAUCAAAGCCCCAAGUUUCGGUGAGCGGCGGAAGGCUGUCCUUCAGGAUAUUGCCAUCGUGACAGGUGCUGAAUACCUGGCGAAGGAUCUUGGUCUGUUGGUUGAGAAUGCAACAGUAGACCAACUUGGGACAGCAAGGAAAAUCACAAUUCAUCAGACUACGACCACCCUUAUAGCAGAUGCGGCUAGCAAAGACGAGAUCCAGGCGAGGGUUGCACAGCUAAAGAAGGAGCUCUCUGAAACUGAUUCCAUAUAUGAUUCUGAGAAGUUGGCUGAGAGGAUUGCCAAGCUUUCUGGUGGUGUGGCUGUCAUCAAGGUUGGAGCAACAACUGAGACAGAGCUUGAGGACCGUCAGCUUCGGAUCGAGGACGCGAAGAAUGCCACUUUUGCAGCCAUCGAGGAGGGCAUUGUUCCCGGUGGUGGUGCGGCGUAUGUGCACCUGUCUACCUAUGUCCCUGCGAUCAAAGAAACAAUCGAAGACCACGACGAGCGCCUUGGUGCUGACAUCAUUCAGAAGGCAUUGCAAGCACCGGCGUCACUGAUCGCCAACAACGCCGGAGUGGAAGGGGAAGUCGUGAUCGAGAAGAUCAAGGAGAGCGAGUGGGAGAUGGGUUACAACGCGAUGACCGACAAGUACGAGAACCUGAUCGAGUCGGGCGUCAUCGACCCCGCCAAGGUGACGAGAUGCGCGCUCCAGAACGCCGCCUCGGUGUCCGGAAUGGUCCUCACCACGCAGGCGAUCGUCGUCGAGAAGCCCAAGCCCAAGCCCAAGGUCGCCGAGCCAGCGGAGGGGCAGCUCUCCGUCUGA